rnacentral:rRNA from 1 species
UACGUAGGGUGCGAGCGUUAAUCGGAAUUACUGGGCGUAAAGCGUGCGCGAGGCGGUUUUGUAAGCCAGAUGUGAAAUCCCCGGGCUCAACCUGGGAAUGGCAUUUGGGACUGCAAGGCUGGAGUGCGGCAGAGGAGACUGGAAUUCCUGGUGUAGCGGUGAAAUGCGCAGAUAUCAGGAAGAACACCAGUGGCGAAGGCGGCUCACUGGCCCGAGUACUGACGCUGAGGCACGAAGCGUGGGGAGCAAACAGG